AUGCCGUGGUGUGGGCAUGCUUGUAUGUAUUCCUGUAGACCCUCCCAGGCCUCUAGGAUGGUCUCAUCCGGUAGUUGCUGGAUACUGGAGAUUCUGUUCCGGAGGGC